rnacentral:lncRNA from 1 species
GCAAACACAGAAAUAUAGCUGGUCAUAAGCAAAUAAGUGCUUAUCAGAAAAGGCUGUUCAAAGACCACUGGUUGUUUUAACUGCUGAAAGCAAGCCUGCGUCUUGGUAAGACUACUCCAGAAAGACCCCUACGAGAUGCUUACAUCACUGGUGAUGUCUCCCACAUAGCGGCAAUGGAUCACUUGGGGUGUGUAUGGCAGAGAGAUCAUGUGGCCCUGCAUCUUGAAGAAGUCUGAUUUGUAGAUCAACUAAAGAAAAAAAAAUACCCCAAAACAUAUGUAUUAGAGACCGAAUGAUUAACAUUCAUCCCUAGUCUCUACUCCCUGUCUUUCCUAAGAAAAUACCCACCU